UAUCUCUGUAGAGUCUGCAUAUCAAUAAGCGGAGGAAAAGAAACUAACAAGGAUUCCCCUAGUAACGGCGAGUGAAGCGGGAAGAGCUCAAAUUUGAAAUCUUAAAGGGGUUUCCCUUUACGAAUUGUAGUUUAAAGAAGUGUUUUCUGUUGGUGUUUUGGUAAAAGUUCUUUGGAAUAGGACAUCAUAGAGGGUGAGAAUCUCGUAUUUGACCUUUACUUUCAACUUUGUGAUACACUUUCAAAGAGUCGGAUUGUUUGGGAAUGCAGUCCAAAAUGGGUGGUAAAUUUCAUCUAAAGCUAAAUACUGGCGAGGAGACCGAUAGCGAACAAGUACCGUGAGGGAAAGAUGAAAAGAACUUUGAAAAGAGAGUUAAACAGUACGUGAAAUUGUCAAAAGGGAAGCGUUUGACACCAGUGUUGUUUUCUCGAAAAUCAAUUAAAAAAGGCAGGAUUUUGUGUUGUAUUGACUUUAUCAGCUUUCUGCACUCUUUUCUUGUCUUUUUUAAUGCACUUUUCGUUUAACAAGUCAACAUCAAUUUCUUUUGUUGUAAAAGAGUCAUUGGAAGGUGGCUUUCACUUCGGUGAAAGUGUUUAUAGCCAUUGGCCUCUGCAAUCGGAGGAGAUUGAGGUCUGCAGCGUAGAUCCUUCGGGGUUAGAUACAUUUGUGCUAAGUUAUAGCCUUUCAUAGACAACUUGUUGACUAUGAUCAGUCAUGUAGCUUACUCGCUUAUGCUAUUUUACCUACGCUUAGGAUGUUGACGAUCAGCUGAGCGCG
rnacentral:rRNA from 1 species